rnacentral:rRNA from 1 species
UCGAGAAUCUUCGUCAAUGGGCGAAAGCCUGAACGAGCGACGCCGCGUGCGGGAUGAAGGCCUUUGGGUUGUAAACCGCUGUCGAGGGGGAUGAAGGCUUGAAAGUCAUCUUUCAAGUUUGACAGAGCCCUGGAGGAAGCACGGGCUAAGUUCGUGCCAGCAGCCGCGGUAAUACGAACUGUGCGAACGUUAUUCGGAAUCACUGGGCUUACAGGGUGCGUAGGCGGCUUUUCAAGUCAGGUGUGAAAGCCCCCGGCUCAACCGGGGAAUUGCGCUUGAAACUGGAGAGCUCGAGUCAGCUAGAGGUGCACGGAACUUCCAGUGGAGCGGUGAAAUGUGUUGAUAUUGGAAGGAACACCAGAGGCGUAAGCGGUGCACUGGGGGCUGGUCUGACGCUGAGGCACGAAGCCAGGGGAGCGGAACGGGAUUAGGAUACCCCCGGUAGUCCUGGCCGUAAACGAUGAGUGCUGGGACGGGAGGAGGUUCGCCUUCGUCCGGUCGGAGACGG